rnacentral:lncRNA from 1 species
CCUCACGAAAUGCAAUAUGCAAUAUCUAGAAUCAUGCAAGUAGGUUACUUUAACACUACUUAUGUUCUUAAUCAUUCUUUACUCUUUGCCAUUUAAUGACUUUCUUUAGCUAUUAGCUAUUCUUUACUCGUAGCUUUUCUUUACUUGUUCUUUAUUCUUUAGCUAUUCUUUAUUCUUAACAUUCUAGAACCAUGCUAUAUCUUAGCCUUUGGCAUUCUACUCUAAGGUCGCUUUACCUUAGCCAACAAGCCACCCGACUCGGUCUAGAGUCAAUCAAUCGCGGAUAGUCCGCGCACUGUCUAGCUUGAGGUGAAGGAACUCUCACAUGCACCCUAGCUGGCAACAGCUCACCGUACUCCUGUCCUAACCGUCUGGCGGCGAACGAAUCGCACCUCACCCAACAACGGCCUAGGUUCAUGACUUAGUCACCCGGCGGCGAAAUCGUCGCACACAUGCCACGACAGUGGUUCAGUCAACAGGCGGUAGGAUCCACAAACUGGCUAACCAUCCGGCGGCGAAAUCGUCGCACACACGCCACGACAAUGGUUCUCUAGCCCCUGGGCGGCGAAAUCGUCGCACACACCCGACACCCCUUUGGGUGUAUCAGCAAGCAUUGGGAUUCCGGAAUCCAUAUCACAUUAACCAAGGGUUGGUAUUAACCCUAUGGAACUGACCUCUCUAGGUCUAAGCCUUUAUCUCCUAGGUCCAAUUGACUCUAGGUUCAUCAUCCUUUACACAACCUAAGUUAUUACUUUAGGUUUAUUGCUUUCACAUUCUUAGCCUAGGUUUAUUACACUAGGAUCAUCAUUCUUUUCCAACCUAGAUUCCCUUGACUCUAGGUUAAGCACUCUUCAUUCACAACCUAUGUUCUUUACAUUAGGUUUAGCAUCAUUCUUAUUUAACCUACGUUCAAAACUCUAGGUUAAAUGCCAUUCGAUCUAUAGGUUUAUUCAUGUCCACCUAUAUAUAUUCCUUACUUAGCAUUCUCAACAUGUACUUGCAUUUAUUGUUUUCGCAUCAUGCUUAUCAUCUAUACUUUAGCAUAGCAUCAUUUACUUUAAUCAUUCUAGGGUUAUCAACCUAGUUUUAAUGCACAUUUAAUCUCACAAUGUCAACAUGCAUUCUAUCCAUUAUUGCUCACAUGCAUUCAUGUAAUUAUGUAGCAUUAUAUAACUUGUUCAUCAUGUAUUUUAUAUCUCAUCUUAACUUAUGUCCUCAACAUGCAUUUCAUCUAUGCAUCAUAUUUACAUGCAUCCUUCUAGUUUACAUGCUUAUAUGUAUAGUCUUUUAUAUGCAUCUACUUUAGCAUUACAUCAUUAACAUGCAUUGUUUAACACUUAGAUGCAUCAACACGAAUUCUUAAUUCGCUUAGACAUAAAGGCGACCUAGUCGCUUCGGUAAACCAACCCACCUUAACUCGCGCUCCGAUUGCUUGUCGACACUUGCAAUCGGCCUCCCGCGGCAACCGUUGCCCGGUUUGGCCCGAACUCUUGCGCGACUUAGCAAACGACCUCCGAACUGCGAUCCGUCUUCUCCGGAGUUUAUUCCUUGACUCCAAGGUGCUCCGGUUCCGAUCUCAUGAUUUUUAGACCUUUAUUCCGCGUGCUGCGGCUAUCUGUACCAAAAUCGACCGUUUCGUCAAUAACUUCGCGUACGCCCAUCGGAUUGCCGAACCGAGCGUACCAAUGCGUUCGUUAGGUCCCCAAUUAGGUUUCUACAAGGUCAAUUUGCCUUAGAAACAACCGGUGACAAAAGCCCCAAUUUUUGGUGCCCUAACAACACCAAGAUCAAAUCUCUUGGGAUUGAUCUCAUAGCUAAGCAUAAUCGAGCUUAGAAUCACCCAAGAAGNUAUCCUUUACACAACCUAAGUUAUUACUUUAGGUUUAUUGCUUUCACAUUCUUAACCUAGGUUUACUACACUAGGAUCAUUAUUCCUUUCCAACCUAGGUUCACUUGACUCUAGGUUAAGCAGCUUUCCUUUCACAACCUAUGUUCUUUACAUUAGGUUUAACAUCACUCUUAGUUAACCUAUGUUCUUUACAUUAGGUUUUAUGCCACUCGAUCUAUAG